AGUAUGCGGGGACACCCAUGGCCAGUUCUAUGACCUCCUCAACAUAUUCGAGCUCAACGGUUUACCCUCGGAGACCAACCCCUAUAUAUUUAAUGGUGACUUUGUGGACCGAGGCUCCUUCUCUGUAGAAGUGAUCCUCACCCUUUUCGGCUUCAAGCUUCUGUACCCAGAUCACUUUCACCUACUUCGAGGCAACCACGAGACAGACAACAUGAACCAGAUCUACGGUUUCGAGGGUGAGGUGAAGGCCAAGUACACAGCCCAGAUGUACGAGCUCUUUAGCGAGGUGUUCGAGUGGCUCCCGUUGGCCCAGUGCAUCAACGGCAAAGUGCUGAUCAUGCACGGAGGCCUGUUCAGUGAAGACGGCGUCACCCUGGAUGACAUCCGGAAAAUUGAGCGGAAUCGACAACCCCCAGAUUCAGGUCCCAUGUGUGACCUGCUCUGGUCAGAUCCACAGCCGCAGAACGGGCGCUCGGUCAGCAAGCGGGGCGUGAGCUGUCAGUUUGGGCCUGACGUCACCAAGGCCUUCUUGGAAGAGAACAACCUGGACUAUAUCAUCCGCAGCCACGAGGUCAAGGCCGAGGGCUACGAGGUGGCUCACGGAGGCCGCUGUGUCACCGUCUUCUCUGCCCCCAACUACUGCGACCAGAUGGGGAACAAAGCCUCCUAUAUCCAUCUCCAGGGCUCUGACCUACGGCCUCAGUUCCACCAGUUCACAGCAGUGGUGAGUCACUCCUCAGGGCCCUCGCCCCUCCCAUCCUGGCCUGGGGACAAGGAGGCUGAGACCCUGGUAAGGGGCAGGGGUAGGUUCCACCAGUGGGUGCUCUGGGGCUGUGUUCUGACUUCUGUCCAUCCUACCUGCCCUGGUUCCACAGCCU
rnacentral:sRNA from 1 species